GACGAACGCUGGCGGCGUGCUUAACACAUGCAAGUCGAACGCUGAAGCUCAGCUUUUGUUGGGUGGAUGAGUGGCGAACGGGUGAGUAACACGUGAGUAACCUGCCCCCUUCUUUGGGAUAACGCCCGGAAACGGGUGCUAAUACUGGAUAUUCACUGGUCUUCGCAUGGGGGUUGGUGGAAAGGGUUUUUCUGGUGGGGGAUGGGCUCGCGGCCUAUCAGCUUGUUGGUGGGGUGAUGGCCUACCAAGGCUUUGACGGGUAGCCGGCCUGAGAGGGUGACCGGUCACAUUGGGGCUGAGAUACGGCCCAGACUCCUACGGGAGGCAGCAGUGGGGAAUAUUGCACAAUGGGCGCAAGCCUGAUGCAGCGACGCCGCGUGAGGGAUGGAGGCCUUCGGGUUGUGAACCUCUUUCGCUCAUGGUCAAGCCGCAACAAUGGUUGUGGUGAGGGUAGUGGGUAAAGAAGCGCCGGCUAACUACGUG
rnacentral:rRNA from 1 species